AAGACGACGACGUUGAUAGGUCGGGUGUGUAAGCGUAGCGAUACGUUGAGCUAACCGAUACUAAUGAACCGUGAGGCUUAACCUUACAACGCCGAAGC
rnacentral:rRNA from 1 species